AUUCCAGCUCCAAUAGCGUACAUUAAAGUUGUUGCAGUUAAAAAGCUCGUAGUUGGAUUUCUGGUGUCGCAGUGCUUCCGCGUGUUUAAUUACAUGUCGAGUUGUGUUUGCGUCGCCAUCUUUUAGCAGCACCUUCCUGGCAUUAGGUUGUUGGGUUGGUAAUGCUAAUCGUUUACUGUGAAGAAAUUAGAGUGUUCAAAGCAGGCUUAUGCCGUUGAAUACGUUAGCAUGGAAUAAUAAGAUAGGACCUCGGUUCUAUUUUGUUGGUUUCUAGAGCUGAGGUAAUGAUUGAUAGGGAUAGUUGGGGGCAUUCGUAUUUAACUGUCAGAGGUGAAAUUCUUGGAUUUAUGAAAGACGAACUUCUGCGAAAGCAUUUGCCAAGGAUGUUUUCAUCA
rnacentral:rRNA from 1 species